rnacentral:lncRNA from 1 species
ACGGUCGCCUCAAAAAUCUGAUGAGUGGGUGAACUCACAUCUUUUUUGCAUUCUCCUAUAUCUGUUGGAAUUUUUCUAGGUCUUCGAUCCUCACAAAACGAGGAACCUGAAUCUAACUUAGGGUUUAUCUCGCAGAUCGUCUCAUUGGAAGCGCAUCACUAUCUCUUGCUGAAUUAUGGAUCUGAUCCCCACUUGCCAGAUGUCCACAUCCUCUCAGUCAGGGACGGAGCCAGGAUUCAAACAUAGGUGGGGUGGACAAAUUUUUGCCUCUGAUGUAGAGACUCAUAAAAAACAUGCGGAGACAGUCUAGGGUUUAUUUUUCUUUUCUUUUUUUUUGUGAGGGGGA